UACCAGCUCUCCGAGUGGUAGGGAUGAUUAUUGGGCUUAAAGCGUCCGUAGCCGGCUUAGCAAGUCUCCUGUUAAAUUCAACGACCUAAUCGUUGAGCCGCGGGAGAUACUACUAGGCUAGGAGGCGGGAGAGGUCAACGGUACUUCCGGGGUAGGGGUGAAAUCCUAUAAUCCCGGGAGGACCACCAGUGGCGAAGGCUGUUGACUAGAACGCGCUCGACGGUGAGGGACGAAAGCUGGGGGAGCGAACCGGAUUAGAUACCCGGGUAGUCCCAGCUGUAAACGACGCGAGCUAGGUGUUGGGGUGGCUACGUGCCACUUCAGUGCCGCAGGGAAGCCAUUAAGCUCGCCGCCUGGGGAGUACGGCCGCAAGGCUGAAACUUAAGGAAUUGGCGGGGAGCACCACAAGGCGUGAAGCCUGCGGUUC
rnacentral:rRNA from 1 species